rnacentral:tRNA from 1 species
AUUCCCUUAGUAUAAGCAAUACAACUGACUUCCAA